rnacentral:rRNA from 1 species
CAGCCGCCGCGGUAAUACAGAGGGUGCGAGCGUUAAUCGGAUUUACUGGGCGUAAAGCGUGCGUAGGCGGCUUUUUAAGUCGGAUGUGAAAUCCCUGAGCUUAACUUAGGAAUUGCAUUCGAUACUGGGAAGCUAGAGUAUGGGAGAGGAUGGUAGAAUUCCAGGUGUAGCGGUGAAAUGCGUAGAGAUCUGGAGGAAUACCGAUGGCGAAGGCAGCCAUCUGGCCUAAUACUGACGCUGAGGUACGAAAGCAUGGGGAGCAAAUAGGAUUAGAUACCCCUGUAGUCCCUGUCUCUUAUAC